GGUUGAAUUCGUUUUCAACCAACAUGGCUGCCGCUGGAGAGCUGAAAUGUAUAGAUUCGAGUCCAUUUAGACAUUGACAGUGCAUUCAUUUUGAAAGAGGAACAGAGAAACGCGAUCAAGGCAUUUGUCAAUCGAAAAUAUGUUUUUGCCUUCCUUCCUAUGGGAUCCGGUAAUAGUUUAAUUUAUCAGCUGGCCCUGGUCACAUACUACGUUGUUCUGAUUGGUUGUAGGUAACCAAUUGAGCGAAGAGGCAUUUUUUCUCCUGGUUCGGUUGAAACACGCCCCAUAAUCACAGCCCAAUGGAGAGGUAUCAGACUCAUAUUCUGACUAGAAUUAUGAGUAUGACAUCGUCAGGCUAGCUCAUCUCCCUUCUAUUCAUUUUGGGUUGAAUGCAAGGGAUUAUGGGAGUUGUAGUUGGAUGAGCAACAGUGUUUGCUGAUGCAUGUGUUCCAAUUUGUUCUAAGAGUUUUGUUUGAAAAUAUUUCAUUGGUAAAGUGAAAUGUAUUGUGUUACAUGCAAUAUUUUGAUGUUUGAAUGUAAAAUGUAUUUAAUUGUAUUACUGUUGUAUGCACUGAGUAACGUUAGGUGAAAGGUGGCAAAUCCCGCAAAAGGAAGAGAAGAUAGAGUUGAAGUCAAGAAGCCAAGUUACUAACUGUCUCCGUGUGUUUUAAGCAGAUGUAAGAAUUAUAACGUGACAAACGGUAUAUAUUUGCAAGUUGGACGUUAUCUAUGUUUAUCAGCGUGUCCGGACUGAAUACGCGAAGUUUGAACUGUAAGAUAGUCGACGGUUUGCAGAAGUUCAUCAUCUCGCCAUUGUGAGGAGACUGCACUUUCCAUUGUGAGAGACUUCCCUGUUGUUGCUCGACGGCAGCUCGACAACAACUCGACAACCCUUGGAUUAAGCACAAGACCUAAAGCCAGACAUUGACGGACUGACCACGGGAAAACGGUGUCAGACAUCCGGCCAGAAAACAAAUAGAUGCGGAGGAUGUGUGAUAUGGUGUCCUAGGGAGAGGAAGGAUCUACUUGGUGUGUUCAAGGCCAUGAAGCAUCACCUCAUCAACUUCACCCGGAACUUGACCAAUAUAGUUGUGAACUAAAACAAGUCUUA
rnacentral:lncRNA from 1 species